rnacentral:lncRNA from 1 species
CUGCAGACAUUUCACUACCCGGUACUCUUCUUAUAUCUUACUUGCUAGCUGGCAUAUUGUAUAUUGUCAUUUCGAUGAAAUAGGAGAUUGGAAGCAAUUUUAGAGUUUGGAUAAUUCCUAGGACACUGUAAGAGUUUCGUGAGCUAAGUGAGCUAUCUUACAGAAACACACAUGCUGUAUUUUGGGGUAACACACAAGAACUGUCUUAUUGAUCAAUUUUGUGGAAUCUGGCUAGACUCAACAUCUUGGAUUCAAAGGAAAGGCUUUUAGGCUCAAUGUUGCUCAGGAUUAUAGAACAAUAAAAGCCAAACAUAACUCUGAUCUCCAUUCUCUAUAUCAUUUUUUUUUUUCUGGUUUGAGCAUUUUAAAAGACUUCCUGCAAUUUUCUCCAUUCUAAAGCUCUAGAAUCCUUGAGUAGAACUGUGAGUUGCAUCACAAGUUGGGCCAAAC